rnacentral:rRNA from 1 species
UGGGGAAUAUUGGGCAAUGGGCGAAAGCCUGACCCAGCAACGCCGCGUGAAGGAUGAAGUAUUUCGGUAUGUAAACUUCGAAAGAAUAGGAAGAAUAAAUGACGGUACUAUUUAUAAGGUCCGGCUAACUACGUGCCAGCAGCCGCGGUAAUACGUAGGGACCAAGCGUUGUUCGGAUUUACUGGGCGUAAAGGGCGCGUAGGCGGCAAUUCAAGUCAUCUGUGAAAUCUCCGGGCUUAACUCGGAACGGUCAGAUGAUACUGCUUUGCUAGAGUGCAGAAGGGGCAAUCGGAAUUCUUGGUGUAGCGGUGAAAUGCGUAGAUAUCAGGAGGAACACCUGAGGUGAAGACGGGUUGCUGGGCUGACACUGACGCUGAGGCGCGAAAGCCAGGGGGAGCAAACGGGAUUAGAUACCCAAGUAGUCCCUGAGCGGGCUGGCAAGGCGCAU